UACGUAGGGUGCAAGCGUUAAUCGGAAUUACUGGGCGUAAAGCGUGCGCAGGCGGUUUUGUAAGUCUGUCGUGAAAUCCCCGGGCUUAACCUGGGAAUGGCGAUGGAGACUGCAAGGCUAGAGUUUGGCAGAGGGGGGUAGAAUUCCACGUGUUAGCAGGUGAAAUGCGUAGAUAUGUGGAGGAACACCGAUGGCGAAGGCAGCCCCUGGGCUAACACUGACGCCUCAUGCACGAAAGACGUGGGGAGC
rnacentral:rRNA from 1 species